rnacentral:rRNA from 1 species
GGUUAAGUUAAUAAGGGCGCACGGUGGAUGCCUUGGCACUAGGAGCCGACGAAGGACGUGACAAACGACGAUAUACCUUGGGUAGCUGUAAGUAAGCGAUGAUCCAGGGAUUUCCGAAUGGGGGAACCCAACAGGUAAUACCUGUUACCCACAUCUGUUAAGGAUGUGAGGAGGAAGACGCAGUGAACUGAAACAUCUAAGUAGCUGCAGGAAGAGAAAGCAAAAGCGAUUGCCUUAGUAGCGGCGAGCGAAACGGCAGAAGGGCAAACCGAAGAGUUUACUCUUCGGGGUUGUAGGACUGCAAUGUGGACUCAAAGAUUAUAGAAGAAUGAUUUGGGAAGAUCAGCCAAAGAGAGUAAUAGCCUCGUAUUUAAAAUAGUCUUUGUACCUAGCAGUAUCCUGAGUACGGCGGGACACGUGAAAUCCCGUCGGAAUCUGGGAGGACCAUCUCCCAACCCUAAAUACUCCCUAGUGACCGAUAGUGAACCAGUACCGUGAGGGAAAGGUGAAAAGCACCCCGGGAGGGGAGUGAAAUAGAACCUGAAACCGUGUGCCUACAACAAGUUCGAGCCCGUUAAUGGGUGAGAGCGUGCCUUUUGUAGAAUGAACCGGCGAGUUACGUUAUGAUGCGAGGUUAAGUUGAAGAGACGGAGCCGUAGGGAAACCGAGUCUGAACAGGGCGAAUUAGUAUCAUGACGUAGACCCGAAACCAUGUGACCUACCCAUGAGCAGGUUGAAGGUGCGGUAAGACGCACUGGAGGACCGAACCAGGGCACGUUGAAAAGUGCUUGGAUGACUUGUGGGUAGCGGAGAAAUUCCAAACGAACUUGGAGAUAGCUGGUUCUCUCCGAAAUAGCUUUAGGGCUAGCGUCGACAUUAGAGAUUCUUGGAGGUAGAGCACUGUUUGGGUGAGGGGUCCAUCCCGGAUUACCAAUCUCAGAUAAACUCCGAAUGCCAAUGAAUUAUGGUCGGCAGUCAGACUGCGAGUGCUAAGAUCCGUAGUCGAAAGGGAAACAGCCCAGACCACCAGCUAAGGUCCCAAAAUAAUUGUUAAGUGGAAAAGGAUGUGGGGUUGCACAGACAACUAGGAUGUUAGCUUAGAAGCAGCUAUUCAUUCAAAGAGUGCGUAAUAGCUCACUAGUCGAGUGACCCUGCGCCGAAAAUGUACCGGGGCUAAAACAAUUUACCGAAGCUGUGGAUACCUUUAUAGGUAUGGUAGGAGAGCGUUCUAUGUGUGAUGAAGGUAUACCGUGAGGAGUGCUGGAACGCAUAGAAGUGAGAAUGCCGGUAUGAGUAGCGAAAGACAGGUGAGAAUCCUGUCCACCGUAAGACUAAGGUUUCCAGGGGAAGGCUCGUCCGCCCUGGGUUAGUCGGGACCUAAGGAGAGACCGAAAGGUGUAUCCGAUGGACAACAGGUUGAUAUUCCUGUACUAGAGUAUGUAGUGAUGGAGGGACGCAGUAGGCUAACUAAAGCAGACGAUUGGAAGAGUCUGUCUAAGCAGUGAGGUGUGAAUUGAGUCAAAUGCUUAAUUCUAUAACAUUGAGCUGUGAUGGGGAGCGAAGUUUAGUAGCGAAGUUAGUGACGUCACACUGCCAAGAAAAGCUUCUAGCGUUUAAACAUACUCUACCCGUACCGCAAACCGACACAGGUAGUCGAGGCGAGUAGCCUCAGGUGAGCGAGAGAACUCUCGUUAAGGAACUCGGCAAAAUGACCCCGUAACUUCGGGAGAAGGGGUGCUGACUUUAGGUCAGCCGCAGUGAAUAGGCCCAAGCAACUGUUUAUCAAAAACACAGCUCUCUGCUAAAUCGUAAGAUGAUGUAUAGGGGGUGACGCCUGCCCGGUGCUGGAAGGUUAAGAGGAGUGCUUAGCGUAAGCGAAGGUAUGAAUUGAAGCCCCAGUAAACGGCGGCCGUAACUAUAACGGUCCUAAGGUAGCGAAAUUCCUUGUCGGGUAAGUUCCGACCCGCACGAAAGGCGUAAUGAUUUGGGCACUGUCUCAACGAGAGACUCGGUGAAAUUUUAGUACCUGUGAAGAUGCAGGUUACCCGCGACAGGACGGAAAGACCCCAUGGAGCUUUACUGCAGUUUGAUAUUGAGUGUCUGUACCA